rnacentral:rRNA from 1 species
UAAGUGAUGGCGACCGGCGCACGGGUGAGUAACACGUAUCCAACCUGCCGAUAACUCGGGGAUAGCCUUUCGAAAGAAAGAUUAAUACCCGAUGGUAUAAUAAAGCCGCAUGGUUUAAUUAUUAAAGAAUUUCGGUUAUCGAUGGGGAUGCGUUCCAUUAGGCAGUUGGUGAGGUAACGGCCCACCAAGCCUUCGAUGGAUAGGGGUUCUGAGAGGAAGGUCCCCCACAUUGGAACUGAGACACGGUCCAA